rnacentral:rRNA from 1 species
AGUGAACGCUGGCGGUAGGCCUAACACAUGCAAGUCGAACGGCAGCACAGUAAGAGCUUGCUCUUACGGGUGGCGAGUGGCGGACGGGUGAGGAAUACAUCGGAAUCUACUUUUUCGUGGGGGAUAACGUAGGGAAACUUACGCUAAUACCGCAUCCGACCUACGGGUGAAAGCAGGGGAUCUUCGGACCUUGCGCGAUUGAAUGAGCCGAUGUCGGAUUAGCUAGUUGGCGGGGUAAGGGCCCACCAAGGCAACGAUCCGUAGCUGGUCUGAGAGGAUGAUAAGCCACACUGGAACUGAGACACGGUCCAGACUCCUGCGGGAGGGAGCAGUGGGGAAUAUUGGACAAUGGGCGCAAGCCUGAUCCAGCCAUACCGCGUGGGUGAAGAAGGCCUUCGGGUUGUAAAGCCCUUUUGUUGGGAAAGAAAAGCAGCAGGUUAAUACCCCGCUGUUCUGACGGUACCCAAAGAAUAAGCACCGGCUAACUUCGUG